rfam:Otolemur garnettii contig026507, whole genome shotgun sequence.
GCUGGGCACAGUGGCGCGUGCUUGUAGUCCCAGCUACUUGGGAGGCUGAGACAGGAAGAUUGUUUUGAGUCCAGGAGUUCUGGGCUGUAGUGAGCUAUGCCAAUUGGGUGUCCACACUAAGUUCGGCAUCAAUAUGGUGACCUCCCAGGAGUGGAGGGCCACCAGGUUGCCUAAGGAGAGGUGAACCAGCCCAGGUUGGAAACAGAGUAGGUCAAAGCUUCUGUGCUUAUCAGUAGUGGGAUCGCGCUUGUAAAUAGCUACUGCACUCCAGCCUGGGCAACAUAGUGAGACCCUGUCUCUU